rnacentral:rRNA from 1 species
GCGAAUGCUGACAUAAGUAACGAUAAAGCGGGUGAAAAGCCCGCUCGCCGGAAGACCAAGGGUUCCUGUCCAACGUUAAUCGGGGCAGGGUGAGUCGACCCCUAAGGCGAGGCCGAAAGGCGUAGUCGAUGGGAAACAGGUUAAUAUUCCUGUACUUGGUGUUACUGCGAAGGGGGGACGGAGAAGGCUAUGUUGGCCGGGCGACGGUUGUCCCGGUUUAAGCGUGUAGGCUGGUUUUCCAGGCAAAUCCGGAAAACCAAGGCUGAGGCGUGAUGACGAGGCACUACGGUGCUGAAGCGACAAAUGCCCUGCUUCCAGGAAAAGCCUCUAAGCAUCAGGUAACAUCAAAUCGUACCCCAAACCGACACAGGUGGUCAGGUAGAGAAUACCAAGGCGCUUGAGAGAACUCGGGUGAAGGAACUAGGCAAAAUGGUGCCGUAACUUCGGGAGAAGGCACGCUGAUAUGUAGGUGAAGCGACUUGCUCGUGGAGCUGAAAUCAGUCGAAGAUACCAGCUGGCUGCAACUGUUUAUUAAAAACACAGCACUGUGCAAACACGAAAGUGGACGUAUACGGUGUGACGCCUGCCCGGUGCCGGAAGGUUAAUUGAUGGGGUUAGCGGCAACGCGAAGCUCUUGAUCGAAGCCCCGGUAAACGGCGGCCGUAACUAUAACGGUCCUAAGGUAGCGAAAUUCCUUGUCGGGUAAGUUCCGACCUGCACGAAUGGCGUAAUGAUGGCCAGGCUGUCUCCACCCGAGACUCAGUGAAAUUGAACUCGCUGUGAAGAUGCAGUGUACCCGCGGCAAGACGGAAAGACCCCGUGAACCUUUACUAUAGCUUGACACUGAACAUUGAGCCUUGAUGUGUAGGAUAGGUGGGAGGCUUUGAAGUGUGGACGCCAGUCUGCAUGGAGCCGACCUUGAAAUACCACCCUUUAAUGUUUGAUGUUCUAACGUUGGCCCCUAAUCGGGGUUGCGGACAGUGUCUGGUGGGUAGUUUGACUGGGGCGGUCUCCUCCUAAAGAGUAACGGAGGAGCACGAAGGUUGGCUAAUCCUGGUCGGACAUCAGGAGGUUAGUGCAAUGGCAUAAGCCAGCUUGACUGCGAGCGUGACGGCGCGAGCAGGUGCGAAAGCAGGUCAUAGUGAUCCGGUGGUUCUGAAUGGAAGGGCCAUCGCUCAACGGAUAAAAGGUACUCCGGGGAUAACAGGCUGAUACCGCCCAAGAGUUCAUAUCGACGGCGGUGUUUGGCACCUCGAUGUCGGCUCAUCACAUCCUGGGGCUGAAGUAGGUCCCAAGGGUAUGGCUGUUCGCCAUUUAAAGUGGUACGCGAGCUGGGUUUAGAACGUCGUGAGACAGUUCGGUCCCUAUCUGCCGUGGGCGCUGGAGAACUGAGGGGGGCUGCUCCUAGUACGAGAGGACCGGAGUGGACGCAUCACUGGUGUUCGGGUUGUCAUGCCAAUGGCACUGCCCGGUAGCUAAAUGCGGAAGAGAUAAGUGCUGAAAGCAUCUAAGCACGAAACUUGCCCCGAGAUGAGUUCUCCCUGAGACUUAGAGUCUCCUGAAGGAACGUUGAAGACGACGACGUUGAUAGGCCGGGUGUGUAAGCGCAGCGAUGCGUUGAGCUAACCGGUACUAAUGAACCGUGAGGCUUAACCUUACAACGCCGAAG